AAUAAAUUUUAGAUGCAGUGGCUCAUGACUAUAAUCCCAGCACUUUGGGAGGCCAAGGUGGGAGGAUUGCUUGAGCCCAGGAGUUCAAGACCAGUCUGGGCAACAUAGUGAGCCCUUGUCUCUACAAAAAAAAUCAAAAGAUUAGCCCAGUGCAGUGGCAUGCAUCUGUACUCCCGGCUACUUGGGAGGAUUGCUUGAACCUGUGAGGU
rnacentral:lncRNA from 1 species